rnacentral:rRNA from 1 species
AUUGAACGCUGGCGGCAUGCCUUACACAUGCAAGUCGAACGGUAACAGGUCUUCGGAUGCUGACGAGUGGCGAACGGGUGAGUAAUACAUCGGAACGUGCCUAGUAGUGGGGGAUAACUACUCGAAAGAGUGGCUAAUACCGCAUGAGAUCUACGGAUGAAAGCAGGGGAUCGCAAGACCUUGUGCUACUAGAGCGGCCGAUGGCAGAUUAGGGAGUUGGUCGGAUAAAAGGGUACCAAGCCGACGAUCUGUAGCUGGUCUGAGAGGACGAUGAGCCACGCUGGGACUGGGACACGGCCCAGACUCCUACGGGAGGCAGCAGUGGGGAAUUUUGGACAAUGGGCGCAAGCCUGAUUCAGCAAUGCCGCGUGCAGGAUGAAGGCCUUCGGGUUGUAAACUGCUUUUGUACGGAACGAAAAGCCCUGGGUUAAUACCCUGGGGUCAUGACGGUACCGUGAGAAUAAGCACCGGCUAACUACGUGCCAGCCGCCGCGGUAAAAC